AAAAAAAAAAUUGCGGUCAUCAGUUGAUUGGUGUUAUUUGACAAUCUCCUGUAUAAUUCACAAUACAGACCACAACCAGAAUGACAAAUGUGUGGGAAGUCUGGUUGUUGCUGUUUAUAUCUUUCUGUUAAACAGUAGUGCUAUUCACUUUCCAAACUUUUAGAGUAUCCACAGGCUAAAUAAGCAUGUGUGCUGGCUUUUCUUCUUGUAUGAUUUUCUCUCAUUCGACAUACAAAUUUCCUGCAUGUUAAACAAACUGCUGGAUUACAUAGACUUGGAUUAGUGGAGAGGUAACUUGAACUUUUUCUAACACACAACUGCUAUUUUAAGCAUUUCGAAUGACAAACCUACACAGUAAAUCUCUGGUGUUGGUUAAGAGGCAUUACGUUAUGCUGUUGAAAAACUAAACGAGAACACGAUGAUCCUAGGGGUAUACCACAAGGUGGGAUUUCGUAGUUGAAGAAGCUAUUUGUGGUUUUGCAUAGGUUUCAGUACCAAGAUAGCAUCUCAGAAAGUACCAGAGCAACCAGUAGAGCAGCUCACACUACAUGCUUAGCUGGCUCCAUGGAAGCUCUUUGUAGAAGAAAAUGCAAGGACAAAUUAAUUUAUUUGCUCUCAUCACAAGGACAAAUAAAGCCCUCUUUGAAGACUUGGUUAUAAUCGCUCUUGAAGGAAAGUGUUUAUUUAGCUAAAUGUAGUCUGAUAUUUUCCAGCCCUCUCUGCAAUAAUAAUAAAAAAAAUCUCAACAAGUGAAGGAAAAGGAAAGGCCAAAUUUAAGUAAUAAUAUAAGCAUGUCUUAACGGGGGGCGCGGGUUAGGGUCACUACAAAGCCAUAAGUACAGCUCCACGGGAUCAACACAGCAAGAGAUUUUAAUUGUUGCACAUGCAGCGCUAAAGCCCGAGUUGAUUCUUAAUUCAUAGCAAACUUUUGAUGACCAAGCGAAAACUGAUUUAGUAAACCUGUCUCUUUUUUUAUCCAACAAAGCCUCACUAUGUUGAGUUCGCUUUGCGUUAUACUCCUUCUAUCUGAUAUUUUAGCAGCAGUAAGUUCUCCAUCACAUCUCCUUAACUGACUCCUUGGGGAACCAGCACUGAUCUUCCAGACGGCCCAGAUUUUUUGCUCUUCCCAGCUUGCUGCAUACGUGAGCCAAGCCAUUCAAAACACUGAAUGCCUGGUACAUGUGCUCUGAGAACUGGGACAGAGCAAAAACAUGUGUCAUCUAUGAUUGCAUUAUUGGAAUCCAUUAUUCUACAAAGACUGCGUUUGCGACAAUUUGUAUACCAAUUAAUAAUAAUUACAAUAAUAAAAUCCAACUUUUUAGAAACCAUAUGAGGAAAUCACAUAUGGGACAUGCAUGCAUAGGUAAAUAUUACAGGAUCACUUCUGCUCUCCACCCACUAUAAAAAAACAACAACCAACAAAAAAACAACAAAAAAACCCCCAUCCAACCUCAGAUGUACUUUUACCCAAACCUUCCAAAUGUCAGCAACACGUGAGACUGUGGGCUUUUGUUGCAUUGAUAAGUAAACAUACCAUUUGCCACAAAAUAAAUACAUUUUAACUUUUUUUAACAUGUUUAAGCAUUUUCUGAAGCGUUCCACCCGUUACAUGCGGUGGUUGUACCAUGAUUGACUAUAAUCACACUUGGAGGCAAUGCAGCAGCAUUUCUGAGGUAAGCCCUGUAGUAUGACUUCACCACAUCAUAAUGGCUCCAUCGCUGCCUGCACGGUGAGAGUAGGCGCAGCUCAGAGGGGCUUCAUUACACCCUGAACCCCGGAGGUGGGCGGGCCCGGUUUAGCCUGCUUGAGGGAAGCGGCGGCCACCAACCCCACAGCUGGCUAGCGUUACACGCUACGGAAUGGCACAUUUAGGAUGCAGAAGGGGCUUCAAGUGGCGCCGUAUAAACCCGAUCACCAAAAAGCAGACCGUGCAAGAGCUUUACUGGCUCACUACACCCCACCCCACGUGAAAGCCAAACGACGACACGUUUGUAGCAAAUGCUUCCAACGUUAGCUAAACCGAUUCGGCCUCUGUUCACACUGGACGUUGAAACCAAGUUCAUCUUCUAACAAGCUUAACCGUUGCCAAGGGCCCUACACACAGCUGAUCCUCGUAUUUAAACUGGCGUUGACUCGCCUUGUUUAAAAAUAGCCGUCUAAUCUCACGGAAGACAAUUUUCGUUACAAAUGUGGCAAGCAACAUUAGAUCAGGUCGGCCAACGUCAAGUUUAACCGCUGGGCGCACUAAUGAACCAGUUUCGCCAAUUGCGAGUUGGUUUCUUUUUUUUUUUUUAAUCAAGAAAAUCCAAUCGCGACUUAUUUAGCCAACGUGCCCUCUUCAUACUGACAUUAGGUUGACUUUUAUUACAUAAAAUGUUGUGCUACCGAGAAGAAUAUGUGCACAAAACAGGUAGUUUGACGAAGCUGCUAUCCUAGCUUAGCUUGCUAACGUUACGCCUCCAGAAUCGAGGCUAUCAAACGACGUGUGCUAGCUAAGCACGCUAUCCCUCUCAAACCUUCCGGGUACAAGCCAUUUCCCACUACGAAACCUAAUAAAAUAAAGGUUACUAGCGCUGUUGUUCAACGUGUAACUUAACGAUGAAUUCGCACAUUAACGUUAAUUGGGUUAGACAGCGAGCUAAAAUAAGAUAGGCUAGGUAUUAGCAUAGCAAUGCUAUGUUAUCACACUGGUCUGAUAACUGCCCGUCGUGUCCAGUAUUUCCAAAAAUAACCCAAAUCUCAAACAAAUGAUGUCUCGCAAACUAAUGAUCUGACCAACUGCCCAAUGCUAAGACAAGUCGGUGACGUCUAAAAAAAAACAAAACAAACAGGCAAAAAAAAAAAAAACUACCACAGCGAAAUAUGUAGCAUCAAUUUGAAAUCUCAACGGCGUCGUGGUGAAGAAAAAAAAAACGUUAUAAACCUCUCAUUAGACAAAGUUUUAAUUAAUUUAAUCUUUAAUUAGUGAUUAAGCGCUGAGGGGUUGUAGCUACCAUCGGCUACCGCAGCCAGAACCCGGGACCCACACCACGCCACAGCCCGCUGGCUGGCCGCGAUCCUGCCCGCCUAAACGCCUUUGAAAAGGACCAGGGAGGCCGGGGAGGAUUUCUAGCCGGUCCUUUUGCCACAAAAGUUGGUAACAGCAGCAAUGAUAUACUGCGUUUUCGUUUCCGAGGGCCACACUUUCCCUCGAAAGCACUGGGUGGCGUCAUUUCUUCAACUAGCUACCCAUUGUCCAACAUUUGCGCCUCACAUGGGUCACUGGUUGGACAUCCAGGGCUCCUUGACGCUGUGAGAGUGUCAGCCUGUAUUCCAGUUGAUUAAAAAAAAAUAUUUUGUGCUGUAUGAGAGGAAAUUAAGAUUAAAUAAGAUCACAAUUGUAAGAUAUAAACUCAUGAAUAUUGCAGUUUU